UUGUUUGGAGAUAUUUAGGUUUAUAAUUCAUAAGUGUGCAUAAAGAUAUUUUAGAAAAAAUGCAAGAUUGCACUAGAUCUUAUGAAUUGACUUUAUGGAUUAAGCUAAUUAAUUAAUUAUAGCCCAAUAAGGCUAAUUGAUUAAUUAGGAUUCAAGUAAGUUGGAUUAGAUGACCUAAGUCCAAUUUGAGCUUAAGUCACUUAAACUCAUAGAUAAACCCCCUUAGGGGUUUAAGAUUAAGAUUUUUGUUUGUAAUACUCCAUAGAGCCUUUAAAGAGAAACCUUAGCCAUCCUCAUGGGAGAGAGAGAAGUUCACCUUUCUCUUAUGUCUAGACCUAUGGAGGG
rnacentral:lncRNA from 1 species